rnacentral:snoRNA from 1 species
AACAUGCUGCCUUAGAUCCACCUUUGUGGAUGAAUCUUCAACUGAGUUCUAUUUGUAAACUUCUUGUUUCUUAUAGUUCCAGUCAAAGAACAUCCAGCAACUUUUUUGGUUGUAUAGUCAAAGGUGCUUGAGUCAUUGGCAUGUGAGAUCACUAUACCUGCAUGUUAGUCUAAGGUUCUGAUAGAAAUGGCAUGCAGUUAUGCUGUCAUUUUUCACUAUUGGAACUCGACUGGUGUGCGGACACU